AGACCCGAAACCCGGUGAUCUAGCCAUGGGCAGGUUGAAGGUUGGGUAACACUAACUGGAGGACCGAACCGACUAAUGUUGAAAAAUUAGCGGAUGACCUGUGGCUGGGGGUGAAAGGCCAAUCAAACCGGGAGAUAGCUGGUUCUCCCCGAAAGCUAUUUAGGUAGCGCCUCGUGAAUUCAUCUCCGGGGGUAGAGCACUGUUUCGGCUAGGGGGCCAUCCCGGCUUACCAACCCGAUGCAAACUGCGAAUACCGGAGAAUGUUAUCACGGGAGACACACGGCGGGUGCUAACGUCCGUCGUGAAGAGGGAAACAACCCAGACCGCCAGCUAAGGUCCCAAAGUCAUGGUUAAGUGGGAAACGAUGUGGGAAGGCCCAGACAGCCAGGAUGUUGGCUUAGAAGCAGCCAUCAUUUAAAGAAAGCGUAAUAGCUCACUGGUCGAGUCGGCCUGCGCGGAAGAUGUAACGGGGCUAAACCAUGCACCGAAGCUGCGGCAGCGACACUCAGGUGUUGUUGGGUAGGGGAGCGUUCUGUAAGCCUGCGAAGGUGGCCUGUGAGGGUUGCUGGAGGUAUCAGAAGUGCGAAUGCUGACAUAAGUAACGAUAAAGCGGGUGAAAAGCCCGCUCGCCGGAAGACCAAGGGUUCCUGUCCAACGUUAAUCGGGGCAGGGUGAGUCGACCCCUAAGGCGAGGCCGAAAGGCGUAGUCGAUGGGAAACGGGUUAAUAUUCCCGUACUUGGUGUUACUGCGAAGGGGGGACGGAGAAGGCUAUGUUGGCCGGGCGACGGUUGUCCCGGUUUAAGCGUGUAGGUGUGUGUUCCAGGUAAAUCCGGUUCACUUUAACACUGAGGCGUGACGACGAGGCACUACGGUGCUGAAGCAACAAAUGCCCUGCUUCCAGGAAAAGCCUCUAAGCAUCAGGUAACAUCAAAUCGUACCCCAAACCGACACAGGUGGUCAGGUAGAGAAUACCAAGGCGCUUGAGAGAACUCGGGUGAAGGAACUAGGCAAAAUGGUGCCGUAACUUCGGGAGAAGGCACGCUGACA
rnacentral:rRNA from 1 species